CAAAAUAUUUGACUUAAUAACGCAAAAAUUCAUCUUAUUUUCUCAGAAGUUGGAAAAAGAAAGAAAAAAACGGCACCCGUAAGUUAAAAUUUGGGGUAAAUUUUGGGUAGCUCAGAUUUUGAAGUGACUCAGUAAUAACUCUAAAUUUCCAGUCAGUAACUUGAAGAUUUGACUUCAAUUCAGCUUAGUUUCAGGUUUUCCAGGGCCACGUUAAAUAAAACAACUGGAGCAGCACCAAAGUACAAACAAGAAAGGAGGCCAGAGCUGCAUUUCCCAGUGCGGGUCAGACAUCACAGUAACCCGCCUCCUUCUGCUUCUGGUCUUCUCUGGUACAAAUGCACAGUUGUCCAGUCAGCCAGCUGGUCAUGACUGUCAGCAGGACCUCGGCUCAGGCUGCGGAUGGAGGCCAGAUGGCUUUGUGAACAUCCUUCUGUUAACGAUUACAGAGUAAAUUCGGCCCAGCUCUGAAUUUCAUCUACCCACUGAUUCCACUGU